rnacentral:rRNA from 1 species
AACGUAGGAGACAAACGUUAUCCGGAGUUACUGGGCGUAAAGGGCGUGUAGGUGGUUCUGUAAGUCUGGCGUGAAAUUUUUCGGCUUAACCGGGAAAGGUCGUCGGAUACUGCAGGGCUAGAGGACGGUAGAGGCGUGUGGAAUUCCGGGUGUAGUGGUGAAAUGCGUAGAGAUCCGGAGGAACACCAGUGGCGAAGGCGGGUCUCUGGGCCGAAACUGACGCUGAGGAGCGAAAGCGUGGGGAGCAAACGGG